CAGGUUUUCAUAACUAAAAUACAUCAAUCUUUGCAAAUAAAUGAAAAUUUGUUCUCUAACUAAUAUAUUUAUAGUAAAAUUUUUCUCCACAGCAACUCAAAUAACAAAUCCAAUCACAAUCACAAUCACAAUCACAACCUUCUUAGCAGCAAAUAAUAAGAAUUUAGAAAUCAAGAAACAUGGCCCAGAAAUAAUCAAC
rnacentral:lncRNA from 1 species